GACGGAGGGGGCUAGCGUUGUUCGGAAUUACUGGGCGUAAAGCGCACGUAGGCGGCCUUUCAAGUCAGAUGUGAAAGCCCCGGGCUUAACCCGGGAAUUGCAUUUGAUACUGGUUGGCUUGAGUUUGGGAGAGGGAUGCGGAAUUCCAGGUGUAGCGGUGAAAUGCGUAGAUAUCUGGAGGAACACCGGUGGCGAAGGCGGCAUCCUGGACCAAUACUGACGCUGAGGAGCGAAAGCCAGGGGAGCAAACGGG
rnacentral:rRNA from 1 species